AAAUAAACCUGAUAGAACCAAAUAGCUCCCGAUUUUAAGGCAGGCCAACUUACAAAGUUUAACAGGCAUGGGCAGGGCAAACUUCGUAAAUUUAGCACAGGCGAAAUCGGGACUAUAGGUGAUAGCAGGACGGCAA
rnacentral:sRNA from 1 species